CUAACAUCAUCCUGAAUGGAGAAAAACUGAGAGCUUUCUCCCUAAUGUCCGGAACAUGACAGGGACGUCCACUCUUACCACUAUUGUUCAACAUAGUACUGGAAGUCCAAGCCUCAGCAAUCAGACAAAAAAAGAAGA